AUUGCAAGAAAAUAUUUUUCCUAAGCUUGUGGAUUGCCUAUUCCUCUUCAAAUCUUUCAUUUACAUGCCAUGUUUGCCUGAUAAGACACAGGCAGAUUUGUCAAGAAAUGCAGCAAAAAAAAGAUUCUUCCAUGGUUUGUUUGUCAGGAAUGGUAACCUCAAAAUUUGGAAAGUGACAUGCCUUGACAGCUUUUGAAGUACUGAAAGAACUUUUUUUUCUUGGUUGAGCUCCAUUUAAGUUCUCCCUUUCCUUGUUCAGUUAAAAGGCUUU